GACGAACGCUGGCGGCGUGCUUAACACAUGCAAGUCGAACGGAAAGGCCCUGCUUUUGUGGGGUGCUCGAGUGGCGAACGGGUGAGUAACACGUGAGUAACCUGCCCUUGACUUUGGGAUAACUUCAGGAAACUGGGGCUAAUACCGGAUAGGAGCUCCUGCUGCAUGGUGGGGGUUGGAAAGUUUCGGCGGUUGGGGAUGGACUCGCGGCUUAUCAGCUUGUUGGUGGGGUAGUGGCUUACCAAGGCUUUGACGGGUAGCCGGCCUGAGAGGGUGACCGGCCACAUUGGGACUGAGAUACGGCCCAGACUCCUACGGGAGGCAGCAGUGGGGAAUAUUGCACAAUGGGCGGAAGCCUGAUGCAGCAACGCCGCGUGCGGGAUGACGGCCUUCGGGUUGUAAACCGCUUUCGCCUGUGACGAAGCGUGAGUGACGGUAAUGGGUAAAGAAGCACCGGCUAACUACGUGCCAGCAGCCGCGGUGAUACGUAGGGUGCGAGCGUUGUCCGGAUUUAUUGGGCGUAAAGGGCUCGUAGGUGGUUGAUCGCGUCGGAAGUGUAAUCUUGGGGCUUAACCCUGAGCGUGCUUUCGAUACGGGUUGACUUGAGGAAGGUAGGGGAGAAUGGAAUUCCUGGUGGAGCGGUGGAAUGCGCAGAUAUCAGGAGGAACACCAGUGGCGAAGGCGGUUCUCUGGGCCUUUCCUGACGCUGAGGAGCGAAAGCGUGGGGAGCGAACAGGCUUAGAUACCCUGGUAGUCCACGCUGUAAACGGUGGGUACUAGGUGUGGGGUCCAUUCCACGGGUUCCGUGCCGUAGCUAACGCUUUAAGUACCCCGCCUGGGGAGUACGGCCGCAAGGCUAAAACCCAAAGGAAUUGACGGGGCCCCGCACAAGCGGCGGAGCAUGCGGAUUAAUUCGAUGCAACGCGUAGAACCUUACCUGGGUUUGACAUGGAUCGGGAGUGCUCAGAGAUGGGUGUGCCUCUUUUGGGGUCGGUUCACAGGUGGUGCAUGGCUGUCGUCAGCUCGUGUCGUGAGAUGUUGGGUUAAGUCCCGCAACGAGCGCAACCCUUGUUCACUGUUGCCAGCACGUUAUGGUGGGGACUCAGUGGAGACCGCCGGGGUCAACUCGGAGGAAGGUGGGGAUGACGUCAAGUCAUCAUGCCCCUUAUGUCCAGGGCUUCACGCAUGCUACAAUGGCUGGUACAGAGAGUGGCGAGCCUGUGAGGGUGAGCGAAUCUCGGAAAGCCGGUCUCAGUUCGGAUUGGGGUCUGCAACUCGACCUCAUGAAGUCGGAGUCGCUAGUAAUCGCAGAUCAGCAACGCUGCGGUGAAUACGUUCCCGGG
rnacentral:rRNA from 1 species